UACGGAGGGGGUUAGCGUUGUUCGGAAUUACUGGGCGUAAAGCGCACGUAGGCGGAUUGACAAGUUGGGGGUGAAAUCCCGGGGCUCAACCCCGGAACUGCCUCCAAAACUGCCAGUCUUGAGUUCGAGAGAGGUGAGUGGAAUUCCGAGUGUAGAGGUGAAAUUCGUAGAUAUUCGGAGGAACACCAGUGGCGAAGGCGGCUCACUGGCUCGAUACUGACGCUGAGGUGCGAAAGCGUGGGGAGCAAACAGG
rnacentral:rRNA from 1 species